rnacentral:rRNA from 1 species
GACGAACGCUGGCGGCGCGCUUAACACAUGCAAGUCGAGCGAAGCGGCGGACGGGUGAGUAACACGUGAGUAACCUGCCUUAGACAUUGGGAUAGCCUCGGGAAACCGGGAUUAAUACCAAAUGGUCUAAGAUGGACUCGCGUCCCAUUAGCUAGUUGGUGGGUAACGGCCCACCAAGGCGACGAUGGGUAGCCGGCAUGAGAGGGUGAGCGGCGACAUUGGAAGUGGGAAACGGUGCAAACUAUACGGGAGGGAGCAGAGGGGAAUAUUGCAAAAUGGAGGGAACUCUGAUGCAGCGACGCCGCGUGAACGAAGAAGGCUUUCGAGUCGUAAAGUACUUUUAUAUGGGAAGCGGUACCAGAAGAAAAAGCCCCGGCUAACUACGUGCCAGCAGCCGCGGUAAUAC